rnacentral:rRNA from 1 species
GACGAACGCUGGCGGCGUGCCUAAUACAUGCAAGUUGAGCGCUGAGGGUUGGUACUUGUACCGACUGGAUGAGCAGCGAACGGGUGAGUAACGCGUGGGGAAUCUGCCUUUGAGCGGGGGACAACAUUUGGAAACGAAUGCUAAUACCGCAUAAAAACUUUAAACACAAGUUUUAAGUUUGAAAGAUGCAAUUGCAUCACUCAAAGAUGAUCCCGCGUUGUAUUAGCUAGUUGGUGAGGUAAAGGCCCACCAAGGCGAUGAUACAUAGCCGACCUGAGAGGGGGAUCGGCCACAUUGGGACUGAGACACGGCCCAAACUCCUACGGGAGGCAGCAGUAGGGAAUCUUCGGCAAUGGACGAAAGUCUGACCGAGCAACGCCGCGUGAGUGAAGAAGGUUUUCGGAUCGUAAAACUCUGUUGGUAGAGAAGAACGUUGGUGAGAGUGGAAAGCUCAUCAAGUGACGGUAACUACCCAGAAAGGGACGGCUAACUACGUG